rnacentral:tRNA from 1 species
UCCCUGGUGGCUUAGACGGUAAAGCGUCUGCCUGCAAUGCAGGAGACUCGAGUUUGAUCCCUGGGUUGGGAA